rnacentral:rRNA from 1 species
GAUGAACGCUGGCGGCGUGCCUAACACAUGCAAGUCGAGCGAACAGACGAGGAGUUUGCUCCUCUGACGUUAGCGGCGGACGGGUGAGUAACACGUGGAUAACCUACCUAUAAGACUGGGAUAACUUCGGGAAACCGGAGCUAAUACCGGAUAAUAUAUUGAACCGCAUGGUUCAAUAGUGAAAGACGGUUUUGCUGUCACUUAUAGAUGGAUCCGCGCCGCAUUAGCUAGUUGGUAAGGUAACGGCUUAGCAAGGCAACGAUGCGUAGCCGACCUGAGAGGGUGAUCGGCCACACUGGAACUGAGACACGGUCCAGACUCCUACGGGAGGCAGCAGUAGGGAAUCUUCCGCAAUGGGCGAAAGCCUGACGGAGCAACGCCGCGUGAGUGAUGAAGGUCUUCGGAUCGUAAAACUCUGUUAUUAGGGAAGAACAAAUGUGUAAGUAACUAUGCACGUCUUGACGGUACCUAAUCAGAAAGCCACGGCUAACUACGUG